CCCCCCCAUUCCUCCCCCCAGCCCUGCGGGGGGUGCUGAGGCGGGAAGCGGGAGCCUGAUGGUUCGGGUCCUGCCUGAGGUUCUGUCUCGGCCCAAGCGGCCCCAGAGGAAGGGCCCUGUGAGGAGGUGGGAAGGGUUUUGCUGGCGCUUCUCUCUCUGACAGUUUUUGGAGCUUUCCGUAACGCGCGCAGGGGAGACCGGGGAGGAAAAGGCUUCGGGGCACGGGGAGGAACGGCCUCAGCGCGCUGUGGGAGGGUGAGAGGCCGGCCCUUUAGCCCUCUCCAAACCUUACGGGGAACGGGACCCUCAGACAGCUCAAACCUUGAACCUCGCAGGGAACUGGGCGCUCAGCCCUUCAAACUUAACAGGGGGAUCAGCCCUUCAUCCCCCUCAGACCUCGCGGGGAGAUCAGCCCUUCAUCCUCCUCAAACCCCACAGGGAACAGCCCUUCAGCCCGUCAAACCCCACAGGGAACUGGACCCUCAGCCCUUCAUCCUCCUCAAACCCCACAGGGAACAGCCCUUCAGCCCAUCAAACCUCACAGGGGAUGGUGGUUCUCCUCAAAAAGUCCUCUAAGGAGCAGGGCUGCAACCACGGGUGACAGUAGGAGUUUCCCGUUCCAUUAAAAUGCCUUUUCGCUGUCUUAAACAGAAACUCAGGCUGAAUGGUAAAAGGAUCAAAACCACCUCUGCCCUUUGCUGUUCUCCAGCGUGUUUGCUUUUAGUAUUCAGCCCAGCACUGACACAGAAUGGGAGGAUUUCCCAAAUGGCUUUGUUACAACAUUAAGCCUGGUAACCUACCCUGGGUCGCUCCUGAGCAGAAAAUAAGGAGCUUGAAAGAAAAACAUUGAUUUCCAAGGGCGGCUUGUUCCAAGGAUUGUUCCUGCACUGAAACAAAGCCUGUGAAAACACCAGUUGCCAGCCAUUCCCUAAGUUACUGUUUCCACAGGGAAUGAUCUUGCCACAUCAGAGCUGCGGAAAGGUCACGCCGAAGUUACUUUCUCGCUGAUACUUUGCUGAUGUUCCUCCAACCCAGAAGUAACGACAGUCACGAGGUGAGUGUAACACGUCAGAUAUUCCCACAAACACCACGUCCUUCCCCAUUUUCUAUCAACCUGUUGGAUUGUGCCAUACCCAGGGAACGUGUGACAGAAUUAAUCCUCCUGCUGGGCUGCACAGCGAGGGAAGGGAACAGACGAGCUGUUGUUAGCACUGAGAAACUGUGACAAAAAAGAGGCAGACUGCAAAGCCAGACGUGUGUCAGUCACCGAGUGAGACACGCUAUGAUUUAUCAACGGAACAACAAUUGACGGGAACAUGGAUCUCCCGUUUCAAAGUGUUGUCUCUGUGUAGAUUAAGAGUAGUAUCUGUCAUCAGGAAACAAUGGGAGAAGAAAUAUGUUUGAUAAAAGCAAUCCCGUGCUCUCCCGGAGGCAGAAACCGCUGCGUCGUUGGAAUGGAAGUAAAGGAUUUCUCUGCGAGUUCCAUCCCGGGCAGCAAAAAGAAAAUGUGUUGUGACAAGAGGAAGUGCAAAUAAUUAAUAGCAGAGGAUCAAAUGAAAGGAGUGGCUUUGCAAGGAGUGACUAAUGCUGAGUGUGUUCCAGCAAAGCCCGGGUUGCACCGUGGAGAGAGGAGCUCUCGUGGCCCGGGCGCGCAGCGGGCAGGGCCUCGGCCCCGCGGCUCCACGGGGCAGCUCCCCUUUCAAAGGCAGGGCUGCUUUCUUCCGAGCUCCCCAGCUGCUGCUCACGGGGUCCCCGGCACCGCAGCACUCUGGCUGUUGUGUACACAGAGAGCAGCACCAGAGCAUCAAACACGGAACAAGCUCGGGGAGCGCUCUGCCAGCAGCUGAUUACAGUGGGAAGCGCAUCUCAAAGCAGCAGGGCAGCAGAGUAAAACAAAAGCCACGGAGCCGGUGCUGCCGUGUCGUUUGGCACUUCCUUGUGCUUCCCUUAAUUCUGCCUCAGAGCUUGGAAGGGAAGGCCAAAGCUUCUUAUUUGCUAAUUAAGGUUCCACCCGAUUCAAACACCCAACAAAGGACAUCCCCAAACAGAGGAACCUGCCAGCCCUCCUGGCCCUGCCAACAGGCUGAUGAUGUCUCAGUUCAGUGCUCUCCCAACACAGAGAGUGAAAGAGUCCUGGGCAGUGGCAAAUCCAACUGUGUGCACACACACAUUGUUGUGCUGGCACACACCUCUGAGCGGGAUCCAAAGGUUCCAGCUCCCUGUUUUUGUUGUGCACACUCCAGACACCCCACAGACAGGGGUAAAACAAAGAGACAUUAAAACAACAGAGCUCUAUUUUAUGGUGUCAAAUGGCUAAUGACAGUAAUUAGGGAUUUAAAAGGCCUUUAUCAAGGGGCAUUAUCUAAGAUACCAUCAUGCCUGUAAUCAGAGUCAGGGAAGAAUUGCUUGGUCAAGCCAAGAAGGCAACAAAAAUAGCCCAACGUCUUUCCAUCUGCUCCAGCCACCACAUCCCACCCCACUGCCUGAGUGCAGCAGUGAGUCACAACAGGACACAGAUGAGCAGGUUGUGUCCCUGUCACUUCAGCUGAACGUGCAGGGGCUGUUGAAGUGUUCCAGUGGGCUCCCAAAACAAAACCUGUAUCAUUGCUGGACCAGUAGCUCCAACAGCAUUUUGCCUUCUUCCCCUUUUGUGGAUUUAUUGUGCCCAGGCAGCAAGGGUGCACGUUGCAAAGCGUGGAGGAAGCUGAUAAUGCUCUGUCAGUUCCUGAGGACUUCAAGCAGCUUAAGAAAGUUUUUUGACAUGAGCAAACACCAUCAAUAAGCUCAUGAAGAGCUGGCUGAGAAGGCAAGGACAACACUUACCAAAAAGCAGCUCCUGUGGCGUGUUGAGAUGCCUCUGACAAUGCCACAGAGAAACAACAGCUGGCCCAAGUUCUCCUUCACAUCUCUUCCCCUCACACAAUUUAUUAACUUGAGCUGUAUUUAUCUGCAGGGAGAAGAUGGGUCUUUGGUUGGCUGGGAAAGUUGUCGUCACCCCCAAGCAGCAGGAAAGGAAUUCCCAGGUGGAAUUAGCAAAGCCUCCACCCCUACAGGCCAAGCAGUUGCUGAGUAUCAUUGAUCAUUCCAUCAAAUGGAGCAUUCACACCCUCCUGGUAAGAACAGAUUAUUGGAAAACAUUCCUGGUUACAAUCCCUCUUUGGCAUCACAUUGCAACACAUCUGGCACUGAUGGCUGGAGUUUGUGUUUAACUAAACCACAUGUACAGGCAGGUGGUUUAAGUGUAAUGCAAAAUACCUGUGUAUUUAUCUGCCUUUAUCAGCUUUCCUUCCUGUGAUCUAUCAGUAAAUAAAUACCAUAUCAGCUGCCUGCAUGGACCAUAAGCACCCAGAUCCAUCCCAUCACAUGUGGUAAUGGUGCUAAAUCUGCCCAGAGCAGCAAAUUACAAACAGCAGCACACCCAGAGCAUCUUCCCAACUGCUUCUCCUCUGGCUCCCUGCCUGCUCUGCACUGCCAGAGCUGCUGCACUACAGGAGUUGGGUAAUGUUUGCACUUCCACAGCUCCUGGAAGAUGAAGACACUCAAAUACAGAAAUUAAUAUUCACAGGAGAGCUGUCAGGGGAAAGGGAAGCGUUUUCCCCGAGGUGCACUGUUACAGUACAGUGUGUUUGACUGGCACCUGGGCUCCCUGCCUUCCCAGGGAGAAACAGGAGAUGCAGAAUCUGUUUGUACUCUUCCCCAUCCAACUAGAACACCCUUUCAAAGGGUUCCUGCCAUAAGUAGGCAAUAUAAUCCCACGGAUUUACAAAGCUGUGGUCUGUGUUACGCCACCUUCCAACAGGAGAGGCUUCAAAGCAGGAAGCAGAGUUGUGUUCCAGGGGAGAGGGGGAAGCGGGACAGCCACAGCCUUGGGAGGGCUCAAAGAAACCUCUCGUGUCUGAUCUCACAGCAGUGAACCAGGCUGAUGGACAACUUCUAAAUCCAGUGAGAGCCUCAGAGGAAGCCUGGCCAGAGAAGUCCAUCUGUGCCUCCCACUUGUAUAUUCCUGGCUUUGGCUGAGCUCCGAGCGCCGCGGACACCGAAAGGUGGAACAAAGCCUUGGAUUCUCAAGGGGAACUCAAGGCCUCCUCGAUCCUCUGAAAGGCAAAGUGUACACACGAUAAACCAAGAGAGCCAUUCCAUGCUGCGGUCACAUGCUGUGUGGAAGCUGUAAUCUCACAAGGACACAGAUAUGGCCAUGCAAAUAUGGGUUAUGCCUGUGCUAACAACCAGCUUCUGUCCCCAGAGCUCCUGAAUGGCCUCUAAUCUGGCUGCUGAUGCAGGUGAAAGCUCGUGCUGAAGAAGCUUCAUUUCUCCUGUGCUCCCAUUAGCCAGGAACCUGCUGCCCUUCCACACCCUGACUUGAGAGGUGAGGACAUAAGAUGGCAACUUCUCAGAUUACAUCUUUGGAGGAGAAAAGGAGAGGAGCUGCCCCAGAGGGAUGGAUGUCACCAUUGCAGGCAGCAGGCGCAGCAGGAGGGCGGUUGGCAUUGGGAAACCAGCUGCAUUUUCAACAUCCCCUUCAGCCAAACCACCUCUGAGAGUCCUCCCAACAGCCAGGCUGAGGCAGGACAGCUCCAGCCAGCUGUGCCAUCCCACUGCUUCCCUCUGCAGAGCUCACCUUGGGUAAAGCAACAACACCCUGGGAAAUCCCAGCAUGGGUUAAAAAGCUGUAACCUACCUCAGAUGGUCCAAGCAAACCCAGCUGCGCAGUGGGAGCAGGGAAUUGCCUUUGCAUCUGCCCAGCAGCAGCUUGGGAGAGGCUCCUGCACCCAGAGCUGGCAGCAGAAUCUGAGACAGGGGGAGGAAGAAAGCAGAGACAGGAGGGAAAAGGCCGCAGACAUCUUGAGGGGAGGGCCUGUCUCCAUGGAUGUUUGUCACUGUGGAAUUCAAUGGUGGGUAAAGGCCAAACUUCCCUCAGACAGCCUGAAAACAAGGUCCCAUCUCUGUCUGCAGACCCAGCAGUGGGUCCUUCCCAAGGUGACACCUGCCCGGGGCUCUGGGCCCAGCGGGAGCUCGGCACCAAAACCACCCAGAGCUCAGCCCAGAGCCCGGGGAUCCCCCAGAGAGAGGGGCCUUUGUGCAGCCCUGGGCACAGCUCUGGGUGCCAGAGGUGACCUGGCACAGGAGCCCAGCGGGGUCCCAGCUGCAGCAAUGACACUGAUUGUCCAGGACACAACAAUGGCACUUGUCUGACCGGGCAGGACACGACCGGCCCAGCGCGAUUCCCUUUGGGAAAGCAUUUUGCCUGGAAGUGAAUUUCCAAAGCAAAUGCCUUUAACUCCAAGCCUUUGCAGACUUCCUGCUGGCAAGGGCAGUUUAUUCAUUCCAAAAAGGAGAGCUUUAAAAGAGAUGUCACCCAGGAGAGAGAGAUCUCACUGCUGUUGGUUUUCACCAUCAUCUGCGAAGGAGGUAACCUUGAAUUCCCAUUGCACUGUGAUGGGAAUUGAGGUCUCAACUCCAAGCAGCUCCCUGAAAACACCCAGGGUGCAGCCCAAGGUCCCUGUUCCCCAUCAAAUGGGACCAUCCCCAUCUCAGGGUAGAGCUUCCCCACAGCACUGGCUCAGCAGGGGCAGAGGGAGAGCUGAGAGAGACCCACCUUGGACUUGCUGCAACAGAAGCCGUAGAGGGAAACUGUGAUUGCCCACCCUGGGAGCUGCACCCACACUCCCUGAGAGCCAACACAGCCCAGCCAGGGCUGUGACUCAGAGCUGCACUUUGCACCUUCAGAGGCCACACUAAUCCUGACUGAUGCCCAGGGACUGGUGCUGCACUCACUGCAGGUGCCCCAGAGACCACACCAAGCUCCCACAGCUGCAAACAAAGCAAUCCUCUGAGGGAGCAAGAUGUCAGGGAGGGAAGGACUUCUCUUGUACACACUUCAGCAUCUUCUAAAAGGCAACAUAAGCUGGUGUUGAAGUCAGUUAUGUAAGUGCUGCUUUCCAAACGAGGAGUGGAGGAGUUACCUACACAGGGGAGAGCAGCCCUUGCCCCUUUGCAAGAGAAAAUAUCCCCAUCCCCAGCCCAGGGAGGUGCACACUCAGUGGCUGAGGGUUUGGGUUUGUCCCAGGUCAGCCACAGCCCCUUUGCCACCAAUAAAAGCUGCAGACAGAACACCCUGAGGUUACAAUGACCCACAACCACACAUUUCCACCUCACCAGUGGCUGCCAGCCCGUGUCUGAUUGGUGCUAUUAGCAAUGGGUGACCAUUGUUUACCCUGUAAUUUAUUAGAGGCAGGAUUUCCAAAAGGGACCUAAAGUAGGCACCUAAUUCUUAUGGGCUUUUAAUGAGCAUUGAACACCUCCUUCAUUAAGCAGCUCUGAAAACCCAAUCUGGAAUGAUUUGGCAGGAACAGAAAUGCCCCUGAGCCUCAGGACAGGGUUUGUCACUGGUGGUUUUUUAAAGAGAGGGUGAAAGGUUUGCAUGAGCUGCAGACUGACCCAUGGAUCUGGCAAUUUGCAGGUCACAGAGAAGGACCUGGGCAUCUCAGGGGAGGAGGCAACUGUUGUAUUGGGCAGAGAGGGCUCCACCAUGCAGGACCCUGAUCAUCUGCACAGACACCUUCCAUCAGGACACACUGUGAGGGACUGAAGGGAAUUCAGCAGUAGAAAAAGUCAGGGGCGCCUCAGGUGAGAAAGAGAGAGGGAACAAAUAAAAGCCAGGAGUUUGGCAGAGGCAGCCAAAAAGCAGGACAAGACACUUCAUUCUGCAGCUUCCAGCAGGAGAAGACACUGAUCACUGGCAGAAGUGAAGAGUCACCUCUGCCCAGAGCUCUGUCCCCUCUCACCCAGCACUGGUGGCACCACAGCAGUGACACUCCCAGCACGACGGGCUCCUGGACACAGACUUUGGCCCUGCAUUUCCAGGCACUGGGAGUGAGGUUGGAUAUCAACAGCAGACUUGUACAGCUCCAUCCAACUGCCAGAGGCUCACGGGUCACACAGAUAAUUCCAGCAGAGGCCACGUGGCACCUGGUCCUGCCCAGCACGAGGGUUUCCAUGUGCUGCCCACCAGCAACACCCCUGGGCAAUGAAGGGGCUCCUGUGCAGCCCCCUGAGUUCAUGGAUCACCCUUUCCAUGCUUAGGGAAGAGCAGCUUUCACCUUUUUAAGCUUGGGAGAAGAGGAGAAAAGCGACUGGUUCAGGCAAAGCCUGUGUUUGCCAACAACCAUUUCUGUGCCUGAGCAUCUCCUACAGAAGGGAACUGCAACAGUUCCCUGGGAAUUCAGCUCCAAAGGGUUAAAACACACUUAAAGCACACUCAGAGCCAACCAUAAACAUAUCUCCUGAGCAAAGGCUGGGCACACCAGGAAGUUCAAAGGUCCACAAGAAACACACACUUCCAGGAGUUCAUUAAAAAAUAAUUAGAAGCAGGUCUACCAAAAAAAAAAAAAGUCAACUAAGAAAUUGUUUUGAAUAAAUUAGAAAACAGGGACAAACUUGUUGGGUCACUGGGACACUGUGUUGAAAGGGAGCUGUGGUCAUUUAAUAGCUGGCACUGGUAAGGCCACAAAUAAGUUUGAGGCUGCAGGUUAAGAGCUCUCUCCUGCAGUUAGGGAGACCAGCUACAGUUUUUGCUCUUAGUUUGUGGGGAAACAAACCCAUUUAUUUACUUUUAAGGCUCCAAAAAGAUACUCCAGCAAGGAGGAAAUCGAACCUACUGUGAAGAGAAAACCCCAGACACGAGGGUUGGGAGCACGAGACACUCGAGAUUCAGGAGAGGCAUUAAAAAAGCAGCUGCCAGCUCGGUGAGGCAGGUGGGGACAGGUGCUCCUGCUCCCCUAAACCUGGGGAAUGGAGCUCCAUUUCCAAAGGCUUGGGGACACGACCUCUGCUGAGGACAAGCCCUGCUCCUCCCCACUGCCCCCUCAAAACAAGGACCACGGAGCAAACAACCCCCUAAAACACCUUCCCAUCCUUUUGCUCUCCAUAAUAACCACGACCAAACCACACAACUCCACACCUUCCUUUCCCAAGGAUGGAAAAAAAAGGCAAAGCCCAAGCGGUGGGUGAGAGGAAUCGGUCAGGGAUGCACCGGGAUGUGCCGGGGCCGAGCUGCCUCCAGAGCGGCCACAGAAGUGACAAAUCCCGCCGUUGUGUAACGGGUGACAAACGCCUUUUGUUAUGCAAGACAAGUGGGAGAAAAAGCAGCACCUUUGCCCUUUGUGGGAAGGGAAGAGCAGGCGGCUCCUGCUCGAGCACAAACAACAGGCUGCGGAUCCGGGGGGCACCGGCACUGGGGGAACAGAUCCUGGGGAAACGCCUCGUUAUUGGGCUGAGCGAGCACAAAAACACGGGAUCGAUAUUUAACUGGUCAGUGAUUGAGGAUGGCAGCACGGUAACGUGGUGAUUUGGUGGGUUUUUUUAAGGAGAGAGGCCACAGGGCAGCUAUCCCUGGCCUUGCUCCUCAGUCACCUAAAAUUAGGGAUCCACCUCCCCUUUGCUCCAGACUUGGGCUUUUAGGGCUUUUUAAAAAUUUAAAAAUUUAAGUCAGUAUUCACAUAAUUUAAUUAAUAAAAAUAAUAAUUAAAGAGCUCCACGCAUCUGAAUUUAAACACUGGUCCCAACUCCUCGGUUUCAGACUUGGUGCAAAUCCCAGACCCACUUGGGGAUGGAACCCACUUGUCAGCUUGGAGCUGGAACGGGGCAUCCUCUCCCUCUGCAAUCUGCUGGCUCCUGAAGGCUGCAGAAAUCAGCUCCGCGGCUUGGCCUGGGCAAGAAAUCAGGCUCUGGGCUCUCGCAGACUCAGCAAAGGUUUGUUUGAAAAACAAAAAAAACCAAAAAAACCCA